AGAGUUUGAUCCUGGCUCAGGACGAACGCUGGCGGCGUGCCUAAUACAUGCAAGUAGAACGCUGAAGGAGGAGCUUGCUUCUCUGGAUGAGUUGCGAACGGGUGAGUAACGCGUAGGUAACCUGCCUGGUAGCGGGGGAUAACUAUUGGAAACGAUAGCUAAUACCGCAUAAGAGUGGAUGUUGCAUGACAUUUGCUUAAAAGGUGCACUUGCAUCACUACCAGAUGGACCUGCGUUGUAUUAGCUAGUUGGUGGGGUAAGGGCUCACCAAGGCGACGAUACAUAGCCGACCUGAGAGGGUGAUCGGCCACACUGGGACUGAGACACGGCCCAGACUCCUACGGGAGGCAGCAGUAGGGAAUCUUCGGCAAUGGACGGAAGUCUGACCGAGCAACGCCGCGUGAGUGAAGAAGGUUUUCGGAUCGUAAAGCUCUGUUGUAAGAGAAGAACGAGUGUGAGAGUGGAAAGUUCACACUGUGACGGUAUCUUACCAGAAAGGGACGGCUAACUACGUGCCAGCAGCCGCGGUAAUACGUAGGUCCCGAGCGUUGUCCGGAUUUAUNGGUUUUCGAUUUCUGUUUCCGUGUCUGAAGGCUUCCUUUCCUUUCUGUUGAUAGGCUAGUAACAGACGAUUGAUUUGUCUUUCAGAAAGAUUGAGUUCGACACAGGCCCGUUUCUUUGUUUUCUUUCCUUGGGCUAUAGCUUUUAUCACAAGAUAUUUUUUCGUUUCAUUCAUAUUCAGUUGGAUCCUUUUCAUAUGACUAUUCUACCAAAUGGGACAUUUUCACGUUCGAUUUACUAAAGACAUUAUCACAUUCGAAUUACAUAUUUUAGAGAAAAAAUCUCAAAAGUGAUUGACAAUUAGCAAGAAAUUGAUAUAAUGGUUAUAUCUGCUACAGAUAGAAGGUCCGUUGGUCAAGGGGUUAAGACACCGCCUUUUCACGGCGGUAACACGGGUUCGAAUCCCGUACGGACUAUGGUAUGUUGCGGUUGGAACACUUGAUGAAAAAAAGUUUAAAAAAACUUAAAAAUCUUCAAA
rnacentral:rRNA from 1 species